UUUAAUUUAAAUAUUAGAACAACAAACGAAUUAAAUCUACGGAUUUAAUUUAGAUUCAUUUUAUAAUUUAUCGAUUUAAGCGAGAAAUCACAUGUCGAAAUACGAGAUUUAUUUAAAUAAACAGUAUCAAGCAUAUACGAGCACACGAUCCAUCUUACAGUUACAGAAUCACCGAGACAGAGAAAAUACAUCAAUAAUUCUCCUCUACAUUUUUUUUCCUUUCUUUUUCUUCUCUUUUUCUUUCCAUUAAUUUUGUUCCCCACUCCAUUUUACCACUAAAUCUACUUUUUGACUUUCACCACCAUUUUCCCCACCACUUUCACCACCAACUCAAUUAUGCAACAACACAUAUUGUUCCAGCCAUCAAGUCUUUUCUUCCCUCACCAAAACGUGUAGAAGAAGUUGAGAAAGGGAGAGAGAGUUUCCUCCAACUCCAAAUUGUAACUUGAAGAGGUUGAGCAGCUGCCGAUGGUGAUGAAGUGACGAGCGGGAUUCUUUUGUCUUAUUAUGUAUUAAUGAACUCUAGGGUUACAUGUCUUCAUACAUGUAAUCAGAACCUUAUUCCGCUGCGUACUCAGAAGUUUUAUGUUAUUUUGGAUAAGUCGGAGUUAUCCGAACUUGUUAGUUAUUUGAGUCUAUACGACAAAAACUCUGUUAUAUUAUAGAUAUCCAUGUUGUUAACAAUGAUGAAAUACGAUCCUUUCUUGUUUGAUUA